GGGCCUGAGCCCGGUCCUGGGGGUGCGCACAGCGCCGGCGCCCCGAGCUCGGCCGGGCUGCGGGCAGCCGAGCAACCUGUGCCUCUUGCAGUCCCGCAGCACUGCGGAGCGAGUUGUCCGCAGCGUCCUGUGCUGGGCCUGCUGGCGCUUGGCGGCGCCUAAGCCUGCAGGCCCGGGGCCGCCGCCCCCAGCCCCGGAGGGGAUCAGCGUCCUGGGGCCAGCCUGGCCCCGGGCGGCCUGUGCCCCUUCCCGCCCCGCCCCGCGUGCUCCUCUUCCUCCAAGAAUGGCUUCUGGGCGCAGUUGGGAUCUUGUUGCGGGUGGGAAUUGGGCCCAUGGGCUGGGGGGGGCCCUGUGGGUGGUGCCAGGCCUGCCGUCCCCCCUGCGUGUCCCGGGUCCCUUGCAGCAUCUCUGUGUAAUGCCCCCCGACUACGUUUUGUCACAACCUAUUGACUAAAUGCCUCUGGCACAGCGGGAAGUCCCAGCACAGCAAAAAGCCCCGCCAAGUUCAAUGGCUGCAAUCGUUUAAGUUUCAACAAGUCCUCGUGAUUGGCUGACCAUGCGCGCCACCCAUUGGCCGGUUACAAGUCAAUCCCACUUGGCAACUAGUAAUUGGCUUACUAGCUAUAUCACAGUAAAAGCCGUUUCCGCCCUCAUCGGAGAACUGCGCACGCGUCUCGGAGUAAACUUAGCGGACUGAUCACCCGCCAACAACUCCCCGUCACCGACUUUCCUGACGUACUCCGUCCCUGGUACCACGAUCAGCCGAUUACGAGCGUCUCGUCUCGUCUCGUCUCGUCUCGUCUCGCGUUCCAGAGAGCACUCGCUGCGUUUGUAACUGCAACUGCGGUGGGAGAGAACUCCCUGGGGUUCAUUGUCUAGCUGCACAGGAACCAGACAGCCACGGGUAAAGUAUUAACAGCCGUUUAUUUGCUCGAGCGAAGACCGUAAAGCCAGCAAAAGGCAAAAUGGCCCCCUCCAAAGGGUGGGGCGUUCUUUUAUACUUUUUCCAGCAAGGCAACACUACAGGGUUAACAAAAGCAAUACCUGGGCGGUGCUUCACAAAUCUUUAUAACAGCAUAUUUCUAUUAAGCUGAACUAGCACUUUUUAAAAGCUAAAAGUUACGUAACAGUAACAGUAUGAUAGGUUAGCAAGAACUUGCGGUGGUAGAUACUUCUGAAGGACACGAUCACUGUACUUAGAACAACGGCUUCUUCGUCUUAUCUUGCUUCGUGCUGUAGCUGAUUUUCCGGCACACAGACACGGAUCCGCUUGUUGCAUUUUACUCAGAAAAUGCUUAACACAGUUAAAAUGAUUACUUGACACAAGCAAAGGCUUAGCUAUCAUUCUGCCCUGUGGUCAGCGGCAUUGCUAGGCCACAGGUCAUGCCUUGUAUUCAGCUGCAAAGCUAAUACUUCUUAAUAAUCCAAAUGAUUGUUAACCUAACAGUGUGCUAUCAGAAAACUAUUCUAUUUCAGGGUAAUAACAAACGUGCUCACCACACAACCAAUUCAGCGUUCUGCCUGCGCUGCGCGCAUCCGCGGCGUAAAUAAACAAUCUUUUUACCAAUACGCAUCCGUGCCUAAUUCCGCUCCAUUCGCCAAAGUACCCACCUGGCGCUCCGGGCUACCGGCCAUAGCCCGGCAAGUCGGCCGGCCACCGCAUGGCGUCACGAACAGGAUCCAGGGAAGGAGCAAUGGAGUUGGGAUUAGUUAAAGGCUACCCCCUUCCCAGUGGGGUGCGCGUAACGUCUGAUUCAGGUGACCGAUGGGGCCACGUUACAUAUCGUCAGGCAGGAUGGGAAGGGACACCCCAGGACAAGUUUAACUGUCCGACUCUGGCACCCCAGUCGCGCGGCCACGAACUGCUAACCCAGCUCUGUGAUAAUUUAGAAGCGAAGGGCCGCACCACAGCAAGGUGGACAGGCCCCGAAUGGGACAAAGGGAAAAUGAUUAAUGUACUGUUCCGCACAGUUUUGCUCCUACUACGCGAAAAUACAAACUUAGAAACCCAGCUAGCCACGGUCAGCAAAGCUGCCGUGGAAAUGGCAGCGCAGCACAGCCCCGAGCCACCGCUCGAAAAUGGCGCCAAGGAAAAGGGGAAGUGCUCAGAAAGCCCGGAAGAGAAGGGGGAAGAGGGCGGCGCCACGAAAGGCUGGGUGGGAACACAGCCAAUGGCCCCGCCCCCUUAUUGCGGGGGGGGAACCACCGGGCGGGAACCGGUAUCCAACCUUCCCGCUGGGUACGCUGACACCCCCGGCAGCCGCUCAACCCAAAAGCCCAGCCGGCACGCCGAGCCAUCCCACUGAGCGCCCGGUCGAGUACCAAAGGCCGAGACAUCACCAACCUGACCCUCGAAGAGCAUCGAAACUGCCACCCCAGAGGACGCCAGAGGAGAGAGCCAUGUUUGGCUUCCUCCUGAACCACUCCAAACUCGCUAAACAACAGCUACGCGUCUUGGGAGAUGCAGGACAACGACAGCUGGCAAAGGGGUUGGGCUUCCGAUAUGUUAAAAAGAUAGAACCCAAAUAACCGCCGCUGGCCAGGCCAGCGGAAACACCUGUCAACCUGGCCUGGCGGACCCUCGCCUUGUACGAAACUCGUUGUAGAAACUGCUACCAACCCACGCCCUGCAACACUUCCACAUGGCGCUACGACCCUACCCCGACUGCAGAUCACCUGCAGGGGGCACUAACGGACUUUCUCCGACGCUUUCAACAGCAAAGUGUACCCACGCCAAUUACGACAGCAAGUCUACGAAAACCCAAAUUUACUGCUCUUGGUUUUCCCUUACGGGUCUGGAACCCAAGACGCACGACGGUCGUAGACCCACACCGAAGGGAAGAGCAACACCGCGAACACUGAGACGCCGACGCGUGACGUUACCAUGACACCUGACCACACCGUCAUACUCAGACUUCUCGUAAUUAGCUCAAUCCUAUUAACUCUCUCAGCAGAUGUAGAAACCCGCACGCUUCCAAAUGUCUCAAUACCCUUAAAUAAAAAAAUUGAGUCAAUGCGAAAAAUGGCCGCCAACACGAACAAAAUCUCAGGUAUCGGACAAGGGUGGCUAUCUGACCUAUUCAAUUGGUUUGGCUGAGACGCAUCCUCAUGGUUUUUACACCUCUUAACCCCCCUUAUUACCUUGUUAAUGCCUCUUUUUAGUAUUGGUAUUUGUGUAUGUGUUAGUUGUUGUUUUAUACAAUACCUUAAAAACAAACUUAUUUCGCUAUCUGCUUUUGUAUAUACCCGCUUGCCAUAUGAACCCCCCGAACAAGACGACAAAGACGUAAUCGGCUUAUAGCAUAAUAGUUCCGACUGUGCCAUCGGCAAGGGGGCAUGUCAGAACCCAUUGACUAAAUGCCUCUGGCACAGUGGAAAGUCCUAGCACAGCAAAAAGCCCCGCCAAGUUCAAUGGCUGCAAUCGUUUAAGUUUCAACAAGUCCUCGUGAUUGGCUGACCAUGCGCGCCACCCAUUGGCCAGUUACAAAUUAAUCCCACUUGGCAACUAGUAAUUGGCUUUCUAGCUAUAUAAAAGUAAAAGCAGUUUCCGCCCUCGUUGGAGAACUCCGCAUGCAUCUCGGAGUAAACUUGGCGGACUGAUCACCCACCAACAGCUCCCCGUCACCGUCUUUCCUGACGUACCCCUUCCCUGAUACAGCUGAUUACGAACGUCUCGUCUCGUCUCGUCUCGUCUCGCCUCGAUACCUUCUCGCAUUCCAGAGAGCACUCGCCAGGUUUGUAACUGCAACCAAAGUCAACGUUGUGCCUGCGCUGCGCGCAUCAGCGGCACUUUGACCAAAGCCUGGAAACUGCUGGAGGCUUUUUCACCAAUCACCAUCUUCCUUUUUGCCUCGAUUUAUUUUGGACUCUGUCACCAGUUACGUGCCAUUUUUCACAAUCCAGUCUGUUUUUCAGUCCCAGUUGUACCAUCUCCACGUUCCUAAGACCCCUGUAUCUUACCUGGUUACUUACUACAGCUGGUUCAUACCAGCCUUCGUUCAACCAUUACUCCCACCUCAGCCACAGCACACAGACUUACGCAGGCUCACUCCCUGCUUUUUCAGAAAAUGGUUGACACAGUUAAGAUGGUUAUUUAGCAUAAGUGAACGGCUUGCUUAGCAUAAGCAUUCAUAAGCAAAAUCAUAGCGUGAGUACAACAUGUUUUGAACAAUAAUGGCAUAUUCCAAAACAUGUUUCAACACCAGCUACUAGAAAUGCCUCCAGCAGAUAUAGCCCAUGCUGGCAGCAGUGGCCACUACCACAAAGAACAAGGGCGGCAAGAGGAAACUCAGCAAGGGGACAGCCACACCAGUCACCGUAUCCAGCACCUACGGGACAGGGAAGAGCUGGUUACUGGAGCUGGUGGCAAUGAGGACCCUCCCCACACUGCCCGAGCCCCCCGGCUGGCAUUGGGGCCUUGCAGAGGCACCUCCUGCAGCUGCAGGCCAGCACAGCCCGCGGGCCCAUGCACGCUCGCCCCUGGGCUGGCACAUACCUGGUGGCUGAUGCUCCGGCCAUAGCGCAGCUUGGUGACAAACUGCUCGCAGUUCUGGAGGAAAACAUUGUACCAUAUCUUCCUGCCCGCCUCUGCCUCUCCCUUGGCCAGAAUCUCCUCCACCGGCUGCGGGGUGCGUUUGCUGUCGUACUUGUUCACGCAGUACUUGUCACCCCCGAGGAUGUCACGGAGACGCUCCUUCUUCACCACAGCCCAGGAGGGUGCUAGGCCUCCAGUUCCUCAACUCUUCCCGUGGACCUUUCCUGUGCACGAGGGUCGCGAGGCAGCAGUGGUGGCUGUGUGGUAGAGUUUCUGCCUACCACGUGGCAGAUCGUGUGGCAUCUCGGCGGUGGAAGCAGGGGGAGCUACCAAGGAGGAGUACACCUGCAUGGCCCGCACUUGCGGGCAGGCAGGGUGAAAAGCCAAAGCAGCUGCAGAGCUGAGGCUGGCAACACAAGUUAGACAAGAAAAAGUCUGUGUUUAGGGCUCAGGAUAACUCUGCUAAGGGGCUCUUAGACGGGCAUCCGAGGGACACCAGCCCCCCAGCUGUCGGCGCUGGCUUGGUGCAGAGUCGCUUGGAUGGACCGGAUGUGUUCAAGUCGGCCGGCCCGGAUGGGCUGCAUCCGAGGGUACUGAAGGACUCGGCCCGUGUCAUAGCAGAACCGCUGGCACGGCUGUUUGAGCGCUCGGGCCAGGUCCCGGAGGACUGGAAAGGGGCCAACGUGGUCCCUAUUUUCAAGAAGGGGAGGAAGGAGGACCUGAGUAAUUACAGGCCAGUCAGUCUCGCCUCCAUCCUUGGAAAGGUCUUUGAAAAGAUCAUGAAGGAUCGUAUUUGUGGGAGCCCAGCAGGAAUAAUAAUGCAGCGGGGAAGCCGGCAUGGGUUCGUAGCACGGGGAUUGUGCCUGACCAACCUGGUUUCGUUUUAUGCCAGGGUCACAAAGGCUCAGACGCAGGAGUAGAGGUGGAUGUCGUUUUCUUGGACUUAAGCAAGGCCUUCGAGAUGGUAGCUCAUCCUAGUCUGAUCAAUAAAUGAAGAGGCCGUGACGUACGUGCUUACACGGUCUGGUGGGUGGCAGAUUGGCGUAGUGGUCACACCCAGAGUGGUAGUAGACGGGUCGGUAUCGACCUGGAUGGAUGUGGGUAGUGGGGUCCCGUGGGGUUGAGUGUGUCCAGACCUGAUCCUGGCAGUCCAGACCUCAUCGCAUUGUGGGGGGGAGACCU